UACGUAGGGUGCGAGCGUUGUCCGGAAUUAUUGGGCGUAAAGAGCUCGUAGGCGGUUCGGUAAGUCGAAUGUGAAAUCUCCACGCUCAACGUGGAGGGGUCAUUCGAAACUGCCGUGACUUGAGUACGGUAGGGGAGUGUGGAAUUCCCGGUGUAGCGGUGAAAUGCGCAGAGAUCGGGAGGAACACCCGUAGCGAAGGCGGCACUCUGGGCCGAUACUGACGCUGAGGAGCGAAAGCGUGGGGAGCAAACAGG
rnacentral:rRNA from 1 species